rnacentral:rRNA from 1 species
UACAGAGGGGGCAAGCGUUAUUCGGAAUUAUUGGGCGUAAAGAGCUCGUAGGCGGUUUGUCGCGUCUGCCGUGAAAGUCCGGGGCUCAACUCCGGAUCUGCGGUGGGUACGGGCAGACUAGAGUGAUGUAGGGGAGACUGGAAUUCCUGGUGUAGCGGUGAAAUGCGCAGAUAUCAGGAGGAACACCGAUGGCGAAGGCGGCAUCCUGGACCGACACUGACGCUGAGGAGCGAAAGCCAGGGGAGCAAACGGG